GUGGGCGUAGCCGAGUGGUUCAGGCGUCGGUUUGUGGCACCGAUAACGUGAGUUCAAUUCUCAUCGUCCACCCCA
rnacentral:tRNA from 1 species